GCCCUUAUAGCUCAGUGGUAGAGCACUGGUCUCGUAAACCAGGGGUCGGGAGUUCGAUCCUCCCUGGGGGCA
rfam:Schistosoma margrebowiei strain Zambia genome assembly, scaffold: SMRZ_contig0002790